rnacentral:lncRNA from 1 species
UGCACUACCUUCAAAGAGUAAAAUGAAUUUUAACUGGUACCGAACCCAAUUCUUAAAUGGUCUGAAACAACAAAAUCAACCAGCAAAAGUCAGUCAGGCAACAUUCGACUAACGAAGACACUAAUGCCCAUGCAGUGUUUGGGAACUGUUUCAGAAUCUACUUAUACAGAGAUGGAGGACUUUAUCGACAGAAAAUUCAUGUUUAAUUCUUUCGGGAGACUAUAUGCAAUUGUGUUGCCUUCAUCAAAAAGCUAAGAAGCUUGUAACAUUUUGGCAUAUGAAGUACCAAUCUUUAAAUAGAGCUUCCCAUUAGAAUUGCUACCACACAUCCCAGCAAAGCACCAGCAGCAACCUGCAGUUUAUUAGUCAAACUAUUAUCAGGCAACAAACUGGGUAAAGGGAAGAAAGAUAUAUAAGUUUCAAUUAAACUCUACCAUCAAUUAGUUGGCAAUUCAUGUCUCAACGCAUCUAAAUAAUACCUGAGGCGCCAAUGAAAACGCCACCUAACAAGACCAGAGAGAGAGAGGAGAGAGGAGAUUCACAGGGAGAAGGGGGGUGUGGUUGCUUUGAGUCUUUGACCACAGAAAGUAAACUUAUAUCUAGUGCGCAAUUCACCUUAGACAUGAGGUUAUUGAGCAUUUGACCUAUAAAACUACACACCAGAUUUACUUUACCUGACCUCAUGAAAAAGGCAGAUGGUAUUGUGUGUAGGAGACUGGGAGUUAAUUCACCAAUUGGAUAACAAGUGAAUAAGCUUGAAUAUGGACAACAUAGUGACUAGAGCACAUGGAGAGUUCAACGUUACUGACAACCUCUACAGUUAGUAGACCAAAUCCAGCUAGCUAAGGCAUGCAUCCAAUGCUCCAGUCUCAUAGAUUCUCUCAAGCCAGGACACUUCAUACUCUCAGUGAUCACUUCAAUAGUGACAGAUGAUUUGCAUGUUAAGUCAGUCCAGUACCUCUCUAUUAACAAGAAAAUGCACAUUUGUAACCUUUUAUUCUCUUCAUCUCCAUCUAUACCGAAUGGAAAUGGGACUUUACAAGACAAAAGUUGUAUGGGAAAAAAAAGAUCAUAGAGCUCUACUCAAAGACAUGGAGACAGGUUACCCAGAAUCCUUCACCAGGGCAGCCAAUAUUCUGUCCAUCUCCUGCCUAUUAUCAUACUAUCUAUCUAUAUAUUCAAACAUAUUCUAGACCAAGUACACUAUUCCGACGAAGCGCCCAACUCUAUUUAUUUGCUAAAUCUAUUUGUUCACGUCAAUGGAAAAAAAGGAAGAACCAUCUAAAACUCAAAAAGUUCUAAUUACAUGAUUUCUUAUGAUGUUAGUCCGUACCAGUAUCCACAAAAGUAAUUAACUUACAAAAAUGAUACGGGAUAUAUUGGCAAAAUUGAUGUGAACUAACGUAGCAAUAAUAGCUAUGAAACCCACAAAAGAUUUAAUCAACACAAGAAAGCCAAGAAAUCAAAGUUUAGAAUUUGAUUCAAAAAUAUUGAACCAAAGAACCAACAGAAUCGCCAACAAUAUGCUGACCACGUAAUCACAAGAUUUAGGAAUCUCAUCUAGAUUGUUUGAACGCCAGAAGAAAUAAUUCUUGAUAAGCUCGUAAAAUUAAUUCAAUGAAGAACAAGGAAUCAAAGCAAAAAUUGCUCACAAAAUAACCUCUCAAUUUAAUGUAUGGAUGAAAGAUGUUCUACAAUGAAAAUAAUAACUUCUAUUUAGAAGGAACCCAUAAAACCCCAGUUGAAACGAAAUUAAGGUCUAAACAUACUAAAAGUUACCAUAAAAUAAUCUUAACACAAAUAAAAGAUUUCGUGAAAAUUGAAAAAAUCACACACGAUUUUAAUCUACGCGGCCGCAUAGUUAUAUCCUAUGCGGUCGCAUUGGUCACUUGAAUCCCUAUGCUCCACUCGUUGCUUGGUCACAUGCGACCGCAUGGUUCAUAUAACUAUGCAGUCACGUUUGAUUUAACGCGUCUCUUUUCUCGAGCCCAACACGAAGCUUGUUCCUUUGCUCACCAUGGAUGAAACAACAAGCAAUAUCAUUGCUUCUUUAAUCCUCUUUGCUUGCGACCUAGUUAUAGGACAAAAGUGAUUUUGAAAAAAAAUAAAAUAAAAGUAAAACAAGGGCUAUAUCUUCCAACUUUUUCUCUAAAGUAACCAAUGCAGGAUUGCAAAAGGGAAAGUCAGUAGCUUAAACUCCAAGGAAACAUACUAAAACUUAAUUUUAAAUUUUGAAAGUUUGAUUAUU